AUUUGUCUGGUUAAUUCCGAUAACGAACGAGACCUUAACCUGCUAACUAGUAUUUCUAAUCUUAUUAGAAUUAUCUUCUUAGAGGGACUAUGUAAUCUAAAUAUAUGGAAGUUUGAGGCAAUAACAGGUCUGUGAUGCCCUUAUAUGUCCUGGGCUGCACGCGUGCUACACUGAUGUAUACAGCAAGUGCCUAACUAGACAUAGUAUGGCAAUCUCGAAUAUGCAUCGUGAUGGGGAUAGAUCUUUGCAAUUAUAGAUCUUGAACGAGGAAUUCCUAGUAAGUGCAAGUCAUCAUCUUGCAUUGAUUAUGUCCCUGCCCUUUGUACACACCGCCCGUCGCUCCUACCGAUACCGGGUGAUCCGGUGAACCUUUUGGACCUCUUCGGAGGAAAGAUAAGUAAACCAUAUCACCUAGAGGAAGGAGAAGUCGUAACAAGGUUUCCGUAGGUGAACCUGCRGAAGGAUCA
rnacentral:rRNA from 1 species